UACAGAGGGUGCGAGCGUUGUUCGGAAUUAUUGGGCGUAAAGCGCUUGUAGGCGGCUUGUUAAGUCGCGUGUGAAAUCCCCAGGCUCAACCUGGGAAGUGCGCGCGAAACUGGCGAGCUUGAAUGCCGGAGAGGGUCGCGGAAUUCCCGGUGUAGAGGUGAAAUUCGUAGAUAUCGGGAGGAACACCAGUGGCGAAGGCGGCGACCUGGACGGACAUUUGACGCUGAGACGCGAAAGCGUGGGGAGCAAACAGGAUUGAGAUACCC
rnacentral:rRNA from 1 species